CGCAGCCGCGGUAAUUCCAGCUCCAAUAGCGUAUAUUAAAGUUGUUGCAGUUAAAAAGCUCGUAGUUGAAUUUCGGGAUUGACACAUCGGUCGUGCCUUAAGGGGUAUGAACUGGUGUAGUCAAUUUCUCACCUUCUGGAGAACCGCGAUGCCCUUAAUUGGGUGCCGCGGGGAACCAGGACCUUUACUUUGAAAAAUUAGAGUGUUUAAAGCAGGCAUUUUGCUUGAAUACAUUAGCAUGGAAUAAUAAAAUAGGACGGCAUGAUUCUAUUUUGUUGGUUUCUAGGAUCACCGUAAUGAUUAAUAGGGAUAGUUGGGGGCAUUAGUAUUCAAUUGUCAGAGGUGAAAUCCUUGGAUUUAUUGAAGACUAACUACUGCGAAAGCAUUUGCCAAGGAUGUUUUCAUUAAUCAAGAACGAAAGUUAGGGGAUCGAAGACGAUCAGAUACCGUCGUAGUCUUAACCAUAAACUAUGCCGACUAGGAAUCAGACGAUGUUAAUUUUUAAUGUACUCGUUUUGGC
rnacentral:misc_RNA from 1 species